UUUUUUUUCUUCAACAACUUUAUUAAGGCGAAUGCAACAAACCAAAAUAAACAAUUGCUAUAUACACCAUGGUAACAAAUGUAAUAAACGAAGAAACAACUUAAAAUAUUUCUCUAUACUUCAAUCAAAACUUUUCAGCAAAUGAAUUUGAAUUUUUUAUUUUUUUUUCUCCUUCUUUGCUAAACAGGAAUAUGUGUUAAUUUCAAAAGUUAUCUGGGUAAAAAACUGAAGUGUACUAAGGGAAAGAAACAAAAAAAAAAGAUUAUAACAUACACAAAGUUUAAAAUGUAUAAACUUAUGAAAUACCUUCAAAUUAUGUUCUAAAACCUCAAAUCACUAAUAGUCAACCAUACAGUGAAAUUACUUCAGACAUAUGUACUUCAAAUUUCCAAAACAGACAUACAAGUCAUCUUAUUCAACAUGUAGUACAGAUAAAGUUCUGUAGCAAUUCAUAUCACAUUCAAACUUAAUGGCACUGGAAUAUUAUAACAUGUAAAAGACCAAACAUCAUUCAGCUCACUUACAGUUCAGUGUUUGAUAUCUGAAUUUUCAAAACUCAGUGUUUCAAACUAAAGGCUCCUGAGGCAACAAACUUAAGUAUGAUCACUAAUAGCAUCUGGAGAUCUAGGAACAUGGUAAACAGAUUCUUUUUGCAAGGAAAUCUAAAAGAUUUAAGAGUAAGAAUGUUAUCCAAUACACAGCUGAGCUGAUAAAAUCAUUUUAUGAGCUUUUGGGUACUGCAUUCUCAUGAACAGUAAAUCAACACCAGAGGUAUGCAAAUGUUUUCUAUGGAGUGCCACAAGACCUAUUUCUGGGCCGAGGGAGGGACAGCAUACAUAUUUACAGCUUAAGAAAAUACAAAUAUUUAUAGUCUCUAAAAUACCAUUUAGUUUCAAAUUCUUAAUAUUUUUUUUAUUCCAAAUUGACAAAUUACAAUUAAAGUUACAUUUUAAAAAUUAUUUUAAUAUUUGCAUUUGUCCAUGGACUGUGAAUAAUGUUCUGCCAGGCCUUAUGUAUGCUAACCCCUUGUCUACACUGAAAUUAACUUAAACC